AACGAUGUCGUCUCCCUGUGUCCUCGUGCUGCAGAAGGUGCGAAGGGUUCGGCUGUUCGCCGAUUAAUACAGGACGCGGAUGGGUUUAGAACGUCGUAAGACAGUUUGGUUUCUACCUACCGUGAGGGUAAAGCCUUGAUCUUUUGGAUCAAGAGGUAUAUGUGAGAAGCCCCCACUCUAGUACGAGAGGACCGAGUGGGACGGACCUCUGGUGUGUCUGUUGUCGUCCCACGGCAGCGCAGAGAAGCUACGUCCGGAGAGGAGAAGGGCUGAGCGCGUCUGAAGCCCGAAACCAGCUUUCACACGACAUAUCAACGCUGGCGGAAGACCACCGCAGGAUAGGCGAACCGUGUCCCUCGGGUACACCGAGAAGCGUGUUCGUACUAA
rnacentral:rRNA from 1 species